CCCAGGGGGCCCAGACCAGCUCUUCCCAUCUCUCUGGCUUCCUGCACAGGAAGGUGCUGGUGCACAAUGUCACUGGAGGAAAGGCUUUCUGAUCAGCAGCCCAAACUCCGGGUCUUGCACGGAGUCAUUUCCAGAAUGAGGCCCGUGUACCUCUGACUUCAUUCCGUCCCCAUGACCAGCCAGCUCUGCGACAGCGAAACGUCGCCGGGUCUGCCGCCCCAGCUAGAGUUCAUGGGGAGGUUGAGACUGUGGCCUCCGCCCGCACAUUCCUCCUUCCCACCUGCCUGCCCGGGAACUCAGGUGCUCUGCAGACCCUGUGAUGCCCUGGAGACCCCGGGAUGUGCCUGAGACCCCGACAUGACUGAGUCUUGCCUGGCAAACUUGACGUCUGGCUGGGGAGCCAGACAGGAGCCACAUGGCAGGACUGGGGAGUGACAUGGCAGUGACAGGCAGGGCCACGGGGAGCAGAGGUGGCCCCUGGCUUCGGGGGGUUCCUGCAAGGAGAAAGUCUCCAUCAAAGUCCAGAA